rnacentral:rRNA from 1 species
UGGGGAAUAUUGGACAAUGGGCGCAAGCCUGAUCCAGCAAUGCCGCGUGUGUGAAGAAGGCCUUAGGGUUGUAAAGCACUGUCAGUGGGGAGGAAGUUUGUGGUGCUAAUAUCAUCAUAAAUUGACGUUACCCACAGAAGAAGCACCGGCUAACUCUGGGCCAGCAGCCGCGGUAAUACAGAGGGUGCGAGCGUUAAUCGGAAUUACUGGGCGUAAAGCGUGUGUAGGUGGUUAGGUAAGUUAGAUGUGAAAUCCCCGGGCUCAACCUGGGAAUUGCGUUUAAAACUGCUUAGCUAGAGUAUUGUAGAGGAUAGUGGAAUUUCCAGUGUAGCGGUGAAAUGCGUAGAUAUUGGAAGGAACACCAGUGGCGAAGGCGACUAUCUGGGCACAUACUGACACUGAGACACGAAAGCAUGGGGAGCAAA